rnacentral:misc_RNA from 1 species
GAAAUGCGAUAAGUAAUGUGAAUUGCAGAAUUCAGUGAAUCAUCGAAUCUUUGAACGCACAUUGCGCCCGCCAGUAUUCUGGCGGGCAUGCCUGUUCGAGCGUCAUUACAACCCUCAGGCCCCCGGGCCUGGCGUUGGGGAUCGGCGGAAGCCCCCUGCGGGCACAACGCCGUCCCCCAAAUACAGUGGCGGUCCCGCCGCAGCUUCCAUUGCGUAGUAGCUAACACCUCGCAACUGGAGAGCGGCGCGGCCACGCGGUAAAACACCCAACUUCUGAAUGUUGACCUCGAAUCAGGUAGGAAUACCCGCUGAACUUAAGC